GCGAAGGCAGCCACGCACGGUCGGUCAACCCUGUUUCUCCAGUCUCGGAAAUACUCGAUCCGCCGCCUGGAAGCCAGCCGAGCCGCCUACCUCACCGUCCCUGCCCGGCCGCCCGGAACCACUGGUAGACUGCCCUUUGACCCCAAGUCCCUGACCGGCCUGAAGGCUGACAUCCGCGACCUGCCGCUGCCUGCCUCGCUUGGCGCCCGGCCGACUACUGUCCGCGCAGUCACGCAGGCGCACCACCGCGCCCUGCUGACUGGACUGCCGGAGCCGCCCACUUCCAGUGCGCUCCGCGGCCGCUUCCUCAGCCGCUGAUCCUUCGGUCCUCCCCAAUCCCCAUCCCUUGCUCAGCUCAGAGAGGUUCGAUGGUAAUGAAAAAGACACCUAUCUGAAUAUGUGGAGCCUAGUUGGAGUGAGGAAUUCAUUAGUGUUAUUGCUAUUUUUUCUUUGAUGUUUAUGUACUUUAUAAUUCAGACAAGAAGAUUUGUAGGUGUGAUAGGCCUAAAGUGUCAAUACUUGAUC
rnacentral:rRNA from 1 species